rfam:Glycine max cultivar Williams 82 chromosome 5, whole genome shotgun sequence.
GGCCAAUGAUGUAUUCAAAUGCACGUAUUAUCAGAUUUGUUCGUGAUGAUACCUUUAAUUGUCACUACCUCUGAGGCC